rnacentral:rRNA from 1 species
UACGUAGGCGGAAAAUUAAGUCAGUAGUGAAAUCCUGCAGCUUAACUGUAGAACUGUUAUUGAUACUGGUUUUCUUGAAUGUAGUUGAGGUAGGCGGAAUAUGUAAUGUAGCGGUGAAAUGCUUAGAUAUUACAUAGAACACCGAUUGCGAAGGCAGCUUACUAAGCCACGAUUGACGCUGAGGUACGAAAGCGUGGGGAGCGAACAGGAUUAGAUACCCUGGUAGUCC